GAUGAAGAACGCAGCGAAAUGCGAUAAGUAGUGUGAAUUGCAGAAUUCAGUGAAUCAUCGAAUCUUUGAACGCACAUUGCGCCCCUCGGUAUUCCGUGGGGCAUGCCUGUUCGAGCGUCAUUUAACCCCUCAAGCCUAGCUUGGUAUUGGGUGCUUGUCCCGCCUCUCGCGCGGCGACUCACCUCAAAGUCAUUGGCAGCCCGCAUCUCGCCGGCCGUGAGCGCAGCACAGACGCGCUCUUGGCAUCGACGGAUCGGCUCUCCAAAAGCUUAUUUCAACCACUGACCUCGGAUCAGGUAGGGAUACCCGCUGAACUUAAGCAUAUCAAUAAGCGGAGGA
rnacentral:misc_RNA from 1 species